AGUGUAUAAUGAGCAGUGAGACGACUGGAGGUCACUUUCAUCGCCAUCUUGGUUUUGGUGGGUUUUGGACAGCUUCUUUACGCAUGCUGUUUUAUCAGCAAGGUCUUUGUGACCUGUAUCUUGUGCCGACCUCCUAUCUCAUCCUGUGACUAGGAAUGCCUUAACCUCCUGGAAUGCAGCUCAAGUCUUGCUGUGUUGCCCAGGCCAGAGUGCAAUGGCAUGAUCUCAGCUAACUGCAACCUCCACUUCCUGAGUUCAAGUGAUUCUCGUGCCUCAGCCUCCUGAGAAGCUGAGAUUACAGACGCAUGUAACAUUUGGUGCUGAAACCCAAGACAGGGGACUCCUUCAGAAGACCAGCCCCCUGUCCUCACCCUCAGUCCGGGAGGAGAUCCACCUACGACCUCGGGUCCUCAGACCAGCCCAAGGAACAUCUCACCAAUUUCAAAUUGGGACCCCACUGGAAGUCGGACCAUCCAACUUGGAUUACAGCUGCUCCUAGACCUACUGGAGCAAAAAGCUAAGGCUCCUGGCUGAUUCCUUCCCAGAUCUCCUCGGCUUAGUGGCUAAAGACUGACGCUGCCAAAUCAUCUCGGAAGCCCCCUGGACCAUCACGGAUGCCGAGCUUCGGAUAACUCCUACAGUGGAGGAUGGCCUGGAGCAACUGAAGAACCACAAAAGAAGUGAAACAGCCAGUUCCUGCCUUAACUGAUGACAUUCCACCAUUGUGAUUUGUUCCUGCCCCACCCUAACUAAUCAAUCGACCUUGUGACAUUCCUCCCCUGGACAAUGAGUCUCAUGAUCUCCCCACCCUGCACCUUGUGUCCCCCAUCCCUGCCUGUAAGAGAUAACCACCUUUAACUGUAAUUUUCCACUACCUACCCAAAUCCUAUAAAACUGCCCCACCCCUAUUUCCCUUUGCUGACUCCUUUUUCGGACUCAGCCCACCUGCACCCAAGUGAAUAAACAGCCUCAUUGCUCACACAGA
rnacentral:lncRNA from 1 species